rnacentral:rRNA from 1 species
AUUGAACGCUGGCGGCAGGCCUAACACAUGCAAGUCGAGCGGAUGAAGGGAGCUUGCUCCUGGAUUCAGCGGCGGACGGGUGAGUAAUGCCUAGGAAUCUGCCUGGUAGUGGGGGAUAACGUCCGGAAACGGGCGCUAAUACCGCAUACGUCCUGAGGGAGAAAGUGGGGGAUCUUCGGACCUCCCGCUAUCAGAUUAGCCUAGGUCGGAUUAGUUAGUUGGUGGGGUAAAGGCCUACCAAGGCGACGAUCCGUAACUGGUCUGAAAGGAUGAUCAGUCACACUGGAACUGAGACACGGUCCAGACUCCUACGGGAGGCAGCAGUGGGGAAUAUUGGACAAUGGGCGAAAGCCUGAUCCAGCCAUGCCGCGUGUGUGAAGAAGGUCUUCGGAUUGUAAAGCACUUUAAGUUGGGAGGAAGGGCAGUAAGUUAAUACCUUGCUGUUUUGACGUUACCAACAGAAUAAGCACCGGCUAACUUCGUG